UGUUCUUGCCAUCGCAGCCAACCCUGAAAAGACCACAUCAGGAAUUCAACAUCUAAUUCAACAUCAACAUCAUUCAAAGCCACACAUCCCAGACCCCCGGGCUGCACUCCCAACAAGCAGCAGCAGAGAGACGACUUCCUGCUAACUACAUGGUCCUGACUAUGCCAGACAAACCUGCAGCUGGAGGCUCAGGGCCCUGUGCUUCACAGCCACUGCAUGGAGAGCGUGCUCUGCAUGGGCUUGUCCUAGUCGCCACCUCCACUUGCUCCACCAGAAACUGAAAGAGCAAAUCAAAGAUGGAGUCAGUCCUGGGUUGGGGGAACUCACCAGAGGAGAGAAGGACCACUAAAUUAAAGCUGUGCUUCUGAACUUUAGCCCAAGACUCUCUCCCUCACAGUGCCAUCUCUGCUGACCUACUGCUGCAAAGAAAAGCAAAAGUCAAUCUGCAAUCUCGGGACAGAAAGAUGGCUCAGUGGGUAAAUAUGCUCAUGUCACCAAGUCUGACAACCAGACUUGAAUCCCUGGGACUCACAUGGUAGACGUGACAAGAAAACUGACUUGAACAGGUCACCUCCACAUGCAUCAUCUCUUUCUCACACACUAAAUAAAUUGUAAUUUAAAAAUAGUAAAGGCUAUUAGCCAGGCAGUGGCGGUACAGGACUUUAAUCCUGGCACUCAGGAGGCAGAGGCAGACAAGUUUCUGUGAGUUCUAAGCUAGCCUGAUCUACAAAGUGAAUUUCAGGACAGCCAGGGCUGUUAUCCAAAGAAACUCUGUCUUGAAAAAACAAAAAACAAGAAUAAACAAACAGGUGGAUGGAUUUAUUUAUUUAUUUAUUUUAUUUUAUUUUAUUUUAUUUUAUUUUAUUUAAGGGCCAGAAACUAUAAUGUCAGAUGGAGACAUAAGCACUAUAAAUUAUCAUCCACCCAUUUGCUGGUUUGUUUGCAGUCCUGGAAAUGAACUCAGGGCCAUGUGCAUAUCAGGCAGGCUCUCUACUGAGCAACAGUCCCAGCCCCACAGCACCAUAGACAUGCUCUGCUUCUCUGCCUCCACUAUUCAGUUUUCAAAAACAGGAGCUGCCAACAUUUAAAACUCAGAUGCCAUGGGAAAAUCUGAACAUGAAGAACAAUGGUUUUCAGGUUUCCAAGCUUGCAGGAGCUCUCCUUCCUUACCCCCACUGCAGCCUCCUCCUCUUAGCUAGUUUCUUAUUUUUGGUUGGAAAACAGCAGGGAGGAACAGCAACACUCUGCUGUAAGAAACAACCUGCAUGCCUUCAGAGAAAGCUCAGAGGUUAAUAUCCAUGGCUACUCCACCAAAGGACCCAGGUUUGAAUCCCAGCACCCCCUUGUUGGCUCACAAGCAUAUGAAACUUCAGUGCCAGGGGAUCCAGUGUCCACUUCUGGCCUCUACAGGCACCAGGCACACACAGUGGUAUGCAAACAUACAUGUAGGCAAAAUACCCAUACACAUAAAAUAAAAAUAGACCUUCUAAAAAAAGCUAUGGAGAGAAACUAAGUCAGUCAUCUCUACCCACUAAAAGAAACAAACAAAAGAAAACAAAUAAACAGAAACAGCUUGCUUGGCUUUGUCACUACCCACAAAGACCUUUCCUUCCUAGACCAGUGCUCCCUUCCACAUCUACAGCUAUUUGUGUUCUUCUUCUCUUUAAGAAUCACUUAGAAAUUAUGAACAUAGUGUUUAACAGUACCAGAACAUUAAUUCCUCAAUAAAAAUAGAGUUAAUGAAUUCACAAUACAAAAACACUCAGAUAAAACUGCACACUAAUUAAACAUUUUAAAACAGUACCUAAAUACACUUUAAAUAACUUAUUUUUACUUGAAUAAUUUCUUAGGCUGGGGAGAUGGCUCAGAUGAUAAUGUGUUUGCUAUGCAGGCAUGAGGCCCCCAGUACAGAGAUGCAAAAUAGCCCAAUGACACACGCUGGAUCAUGGAUUCAGAUCUAAGUAAGUAUAGCUGUAAAGCAGCAGGCUGUACUCUCCUGGGCUUGUGUAGUACUGACAGUCAGAACCCAGAGAACCACAAGGGGCAUAAGCACAGAACCAGUUAUAAAAAGGUUUUGUUACAUGUAUCAAGAGAUUCAAAGUAGACUUUGUGUCAAGGGCCAUGCAGAAGGAACAACAAAUGGCUUUAGAACUCAUAGAAUUGAAUUCAGCCCACUGGUUACCAUAGCUAUGAUGGGUGUGCCUUGGAGAGGCAGAACACGAGGACUACAUGUCCUGAAGACUCCAAUGCUGCUGUGGAGUUUUGCUCUGUCGUCUUAAUCUAAGAAUUGUACGAAAACUCUAUGGGGGCUUCCAGCCCCUAACUGAGCAGUAUCUCUGGCACUCACAUAACAGAACUUGAUCUCUCUCAAGCACCGCUGCUGGAAUACAUUAAUGAUUCAAUUACCACCCUUGGAAAGAACUUAGAGAUGCAGCUUGUUAGCAAUGACUACCACCCUUAGAAAGCAUUUGGAAAAACGAUUGUUGGUGAAGAUAGGUUGAGAUGCUUUUGUUAAUGGCUCUGAUAUAGAAACCCUUAGGGAACACUGUUCCUGGUUGAGCUAGGGAUUGUUUAAGGCUAGAGGAUAAGAACAAUAUUAGGCUGACUAGCACUGACUAAAGCAAGAUCAAGCUGACGAUUAACUUCUUGUACUCAUUUUUGCCUUCAGAUUACUUUUUAAGAUAAAUAAUAAGACCACUGAUCCUUUCUUUGUACCACAAAUUGCUGCCUGCCAGAAAGAGAAGCUGGCUGAGAAAAUUAUCCUGCUUGCUACUUUGUUAAUCUGUAAGUUGCUUAGUUAAACAUGUAUGUGGGUUCUUGGGAAUAAUUUGUUUUCUUUUCUUUUUCUUUUACAUGUACUAUGUAAUGCUUUUCAUGUAAAGGUAUUAAGGAACACACUGCUUUUUCAUAAUCAUUCACUAGAGGAAAAAUAGAAUGUAAUCACAUUGUAAUUUUAUAUUGUUUAAAAGGUUUUGCUGGGAUAUAUAAGCUAUGGGAGAAAAAACAAAGUUGGAGCCUGCUUGUUGGAGCUUUGCUCCAUUCAUCAAAUGUGUGUGUAUAUAUGUAUGUAUGUAUGUAAAGUAGUUGGAGCUUGCUCUUGCUCAUUAAAACUUGUUGAAGUCUGCUUCAUUCAUCCAGUGUGUGUGUGUAUGUGUGUGUGUGUGUGUGUGUGUGUGUGUGAUUCUUCCCCCACCCCCUUUUCUUUCUUUUUUCACUGACCUCAUAUGGCCACCAAAGGAACUCUUCAUUGGCCUCCCAGGGAGCAUCCUCACUGGCCCCAGUCAACUGCCAACUCUACACCCUGCCUCAGUGUACCCUGGAUGUCAAAGCUGGUAUUUGACAACUUUGUCCUGUGUGUGCAAUGCUGGUGAGAUGCAGAGCAGUGGCUGCAGUGGACAGAGAGCCCUGGUGAGAUGCAGAGCAGUGGCUGCAGUGGACAGUGAGCCCUGGUGAGAUGCAGAGCAGUGGCUGCAGUGGACAGUGAGCCCUGGUGAGAUGCAGAGCAGUGGCUGCAGUGGACAGUGAGCCCUGGUGAGAUUCAGAGCAGUGGCUGCAGUGGACAGUGAGCCCUGGUGAGAUGCAGCACAGUGGCUGCAGUGGACAGUGAGCCCUGGUGAGAUGCAGAGCAGUGGCUGCAGUGGACAAUGAGCCCUGGUAAGAUGCAGAGCAGUGGCUGCAGUGGACAGUGAGCCCUGGUGAGAUGCAGCACAGUGGCUGCAGUGGACAGUGAGCCCUGGUGAGAUGCAGAGCAGUGGCUGCAGUGGACAGUGAGCCCUCAUUUUUUUUCAAUGACAAAUUUACAAGGAUUCAGACAAGUCCUACAACUUUUCUAAGCCUUCCUGUAAAUGAUGAUGUAUAUAGUAAUGUACUUAUAUUUUAUGCCAAGAAUUAAAUAAAAUAUUUCACAUUUUAACACAUAUACAGCACCACCUGUGGGUGCAGACCUAUAACCCCAACUAUUUGGCUAAGUCAAGAGAGCCAAAGGCCAGAUUUCUGAGUUCGAGGCCAGCCUGGGCUACAGAGUGAGUUCCAGGACAGCAGGGGCUAUACAGAGAAACCCUGUCUCGAAAAACCAAAAAAAAAAAAAAAAAAAAAAAAAAACACUAAUGAGCUUGGGCUACAGAGAAAAUUCAAGGCCAGAUUAUACAAAAUAAAAAGUAAAAAGACAGCUGGGGAUCUGGGAGUGGUGUAAUUUUGUUUAAUCCCAGCACUCAAGAGGCAAGGAGAGACAGGCAGAAGUUGUGAGUUCAAAGCCAGCCUGGUCUACAAAGAAAAAAACAGCUAAGGACAUGGAGUAUUUAUCAACCACGUGAUAAACCCUACAUUCACUCCCCUGUACCACCAUCCUGACUGGUAUUUCUGUUGCUGUAGUGAAACACUAUGACCAAAGCAACUUGUAAAGUUAAGGGUUUAUUUGGCUUACAUAUCCAUAUCAUGGUUUAUCAAUGAAGGAAGUCUGGACAGGAACUCAAACAGAAAAGAAUCGUGGAGGCAGAGACCUCUGAGGGGUGCUGCUACCUGGCUUUCUCCUCGUGGUUUGCAAAGCUUGCUUUCUUAUUGAAGUCAGGAACACCAGCCCAGGGAUAGCAUCACCUACAAUGAUCUGGGCCCUUGUCCAUCAACCAUUAAUUAAGAAAAUGUUCUAUAAGCUUGCCUACAGCCCAAUCUUUUUUUUUUUUUUUUUUAGAAAUGGUUAUUUGUGUAUAUUUUUGACUUGGGAAUCUAACUUUCUUUUUUUUUUCUAUUACAUAUUUUCCUCAAUUACAUUUCCAAUGCUAUCCCAAAAGUCCCCCAUACCCUCCCCCCCUACUUCCCUACCCACUCAUUACAGCCCAAUCUUAUGGUAGUGUUCACUCAAAUGAGAUUCCCUCCUUUCAGUUAACUAACCCUCGCUUGUGUCAAGUUGACAUAAGAUAGCCAGCUCACAUCCCUACCCCCCCCUUUUUUUUUGUUUUUUUGGUUUUUUUCGAGACAGGGUUUCUCUGUAUAGCCCUGGCUGUCCUGGAACUCACUCUGUAGAUCAGGCUGGCCUUGAACUCAGAAAUCUGCCUGCCUCUACCUCCCAAGUGCUAGGAUUACAGGCGUGCACCACCACUGCCUGGCCCCAAAAAUUAUAUACACAAAGUUAACAAGGCUUAGAACAUUGUAAGCACUUAAUUAGAAUUAAUUAUGAUUAUAUAAAAUCUCAAUAUUAUAGUUGAAUGUUAUCAAUGGCUAUUAAUAGGUAUCAACUGUGUUCUAAGAUGAGUGAAUUAAAGUAUCAUACCAAUGCUGAGGUAAAAUGACAUUUGCUGACCUGUAGUUCCCCACACACUCACCAUAAGACACUCUGGCUCCUAAACUCUAGAGCAGUAGUCUUCAUGUGAAGUUUGGUCCUACGAGAAACCAUGUAUAUCAACCAGGACUUCCAGGCUUGGCACAUCUUCUGCUUCGUAUCUAGAGACAUCAAAGAGAUAUCUUUAUAAAAAGGAGGAAACUGGACUGGAGGGAUGGCUCAGCAGUUAAGAGCAUCUACUCUUCUCGUCCAGGUCCAGUUCAGUUCCCAGCACCCACACUGGGCAGCUCAUAACCACCAUAACUCCAGCUCCUGAAUGGAUCCGAUGCCUUUCUUCUGGCCACUACAGGCAUCUGCACAUUUCUACACACAGAUAUAGACAUAUAAACAUAACUGAAAAUAAAAUCUGAAAAGAAAAUAAAAAGGGUAGAGAGGGCCAGUGAGACAGCUCAGUGAUUAAGGGGUUUGCUGCCAAUCAUGGUGGGCUGAGUUCAAUCUCUGGAGCCCACACAAAAGAGAAGAGAAGUGACUUCUGCAGGCUGUCUUCUGACCUCACACAAACAUACAUGGUACACAGGAGCCACACACAUUUAAACAAGCACACAAAUGUAAGAAAACAUUUAAAGGGUGCGAGGAAUAUAUUAUUUUGUGUUAUGAUUUUCUCAAGGACUUUCUGUACUUAGCCCAUCUUCAAAGUCCGUAUCUGUUUUCUAGCCUCCAGGUGCCCUCUGCUAGAAAUACAAAAUGAACAGAUUCAAGACAGCUCAAGUGACAAGUUAAACUUUUAAAGGUAACCUGCACUCUGCCCACUGUGUGGCACCCCUGCCACCUCCUCCUUCUGUUUCUUUGAGACCAAGUCUCUAUGUAGCCUGGCAGGUUUGGAACUCUCUCUAGGAGGGUAGACCAGGCUAUCCUCAAACUCAUAGAAUCCGCUUACCUCUGUCUCCCAAAGUGCUAGGAUUAGAGGUGUGCACUAACACAUCUGACCUUAUUUUUCAAGACAGGGCCUCUCAGUAAACUUGGAGCUGACCAAUUAAACUAGAUUAGCUAAGCCAGGAGCCACAGGAAUCCUCCUGCCUCCACUUCCCCGUGCUGGGAGUGGAAGCGUGCCUGGCUUUUCACGUGGUUCUAAGGAACUGAACUCAGGUGCUCAUGCUUGCCUUGCAAAGCAGUUCAGUAACACCCAUUUUCCCAACUGUGGGAACAAUCUUAUACCUUAAAAAAAA